rnacentral:misc_RNA from 1 species
AACAAGGCGUACCUGCGGACCUGCGGAGGGAUCAUUACACAAUACGAUAUGAAGGCUGUCCGCAGCUGGAGUAUUUUAUUACCCUUGUCUUUUGCGCACUUGUUGUUUCCUGGGCGGGUUCGCUCGCCACCAGGACCACCAAAUAAACCUUUUUUAUGCAGUUGCAAUCAGCGUCAGUACAAACAAUGUAAAUCAUUUACAACUUUUAACAAUGGAUCU